rnacentral:rRNA from 1 species
UAUAAUUUUAUUUAUAUUAUUAAUUAUUAAAAAUAAUUAUAAAUUUAAAUGUUUUAGUAUAUUAUAUAAAAAAAAUAAAAUUAUUAAUAGUUUAUUAGUAUUGUAAAAUAAUAUUGAAAUAUAAUGAAAAAUUUUUAUUUUAAAAGAAAAUUUUAUUUAUUGUAUCUUGUGUAUCAGAGUAUAUUAAAUAAAAAAUAAUUAUUUUAUUUUUCUCGAUUUUAAAAGAUUUAAUAAAUUAUAAAAAUUAAUGUAAUAAAAUUAUUUUUAAUAAUUUAUUAGAAAUGAAAUGUUAUUCGUUUUUAAAGGUAUCUAGUUUUUUAAGAAAUAAAUUAAAUUUAAAUUUUUAAAAUUUAUUUAUUUAUUUUUUUAAUUAAAUAAUUUUUAAAAAUUAAUAUUUUAUGGGAUAAGCUAUAAAAUAAAUUUUUAUAAAUAAUAAAUAUAAUUUAAAUAUUAUAUGUUUAGAAUUAUCAAUUAUUAUUAAAUUUGUUAUAAAUUAAUUUUUAUAAUAAAUUAUUUAUUAUAUUUUAAAUUUUUAUUAAAAUAUUUUUUUUAACAAUAAAAAUAAAAUAAUAAUGAUAUAAUUAGUAUAUUAUAAUUUAAUUAAUUUUUUUAAAAUGAAAAGUUUAUUUAAAGAAUUCGGCAAAAAUAAUAUUCGCCUGUUUAACAAAAACAUGUCUUUUAGAAUUUAAUUUAAAGUCUAACCUGCCCAAUGAUUUUUUUAAUGGCCGCAGUAUUUUAACUGUGCAAAGGUAGCAUAAUCAUUAGUCUUUUAAUUGAAGGCUGGAAUGAAUGGUUGGACGAAAUAUUAACUGUUUCAUUUAAAAUUAUAAUAAAAUUUUAUUUUUUAAUUAAAAAGUUAAAAUUUAAUUAAAAGACGAGAAGACCCUAUAAAUCUUUAUAUAUUUAUUAAUUUUAAUUUUAAAGAUUUUUUUAAUUAUAAUAAAUAAAUAUAUUUUAUUGGGGUGAUAUUAAAAUUUAAUUAACUUUUAAAUAUUUAAAUCAUUAAUUUAUGAAUAAUUGAUCCAAUUAUAUUGAUUAAAAAUUUAAGUUACUUUAGGGAUAACAGCGUAAUUUUUUUGGAGAGUUCAUAUUGAUAAAAAAGAUUGCGACCUCGAUGUUGGAUUAAGAUAUAAUUUUAGGUGUAGCCGUUUAAAUUUAAAGUCUGUUCGACUUUUAAAAUCUUACAUGAUCUGAGUUCAAACCGGUGUAAGCCAGGUUGGUUUCUAUCUUUAAUAAAUUAAAAUAUUUUAGUACGAAAGGAUUAAAUAUUAAAUUAAUUAUAAUUUAAAAAUAAGAAUAUUAUUAAUAAUUUAA